rnacentral:lncRNA from 1 species
CGAUUGUCAUUUUUUUCGUACUAAGCUGACUGAUGGGGUGAUUUCUCUCUCUCUCUCUCUCAUGUCUCCACUUCUCACUAGUUGGCUGAUGUCCUCACCAAGCCUAUGCCUGCCACUGCUCGUCAUUAUCUUGGCCAAGUUGAAGGUGGUCUCCCCCUCCAACUUGAGGGGUGGUGUUGAGCUAAUGGACUACCUAUCAUCUAAGCCUAAACACAUACAUUGAUUUUGUGCUGUAUUAUUAUUUUAUAUUGCAUGUAUAUUGUAUAUCAUUUGGGCUACAUUUUCAUUUUGGGCCUGUACCAGCUUUUAGCCCAUUCAUUUUUAUUUAGCUGACCCAAUAUAGAAGGGUCCGAUAUAUUUUUCUUCUAGAGAGUUCUGUAUAUACAUAGAGAAGAGAACUCCU